AUAUUGGACAAUGGGCGCAAGCAUGAUCCAGACAUACCGCGUGGGUGAAGAAGGCCUUCGUGUUGUAAAGCCCUUUUGUUGGGAAAGAAAUCCAGCUGGCUAAUACCCGGUUGGGAUGACGGUAACCACAGAAUAAGAACCGGAUAACUUCGUCACAGCAGCCGCGGUAACACGAAGGUUUCAAGCGUUACUCGGAAUUACUGGGUGUAAAGCGUGCGUAGGUGGUCGUUUAAGUCCGUUGUGAAAGCCCUGGGCUCAACCUGGGAACUGCAGUGGAUACUGGGCGACUAGAAUGUGGUAGAGGGCAGCGGAAUUCCUGGUGUAGCAGUGAAAUGCGUAGAGAUCAGGAGGAACAUCCAUGGCGAAGGCAGCUACCUGGACCAACAUUGACACUGAGGCACGAAAGCGUGGGGAGCAAAC
rnacentral:rRNA from 1 species